rnacentral:rRNA from 1 species
GCGCAAGCCUGAUGCAGCGACGCCGCGUGAGGGAUGACGGCCUUCGGGUUGUAAACCUCUUUCGCCAGGGACGAAGCGCAAGUGACGGUACCUGGAGAAGAAGCACCGGCCAACUACGUGCCAGCAGCCGCGGUAAUACGUAGGGUGCGAGCGUUGUCCGGAAUUACUGGGCGUAAAGAGCUCGUAGGUGGUUUGUCGCGUUGUUCGUGAAAACUCACAGCUUAACUGUGGGCGUGCGGGCGAUACGGGCAGACUGGAGUACUGCAGGGGAGACUGGAAUUCCUGGUGUAGCGGUGGAAUGCGCAGAUAUCAGGAGGAACACCGGUGGCGAAGGCGGGUCUCUGGGCAGUAACUGACGCUGAGGAGCGAAAGCGUGGGGAGCGAACAGGAUUAGAUACCCUGGUAGUCCACGCCGUAAACGGUGGGUACUAGGUGUGGGUUUCCUUCCUUGGGAUCCGUGCCGUAGCUAACGCAUUAAGUACCCCGCCUG